rnacentral:rRNA from 1 species
UACGUAGGUGGCGAGCGUUGUCCGGAUUUACUGGGUGUAAAGGGCGUGUAGGCGGGACUGUAAGUCAGAUGUGAAAUUCCGAGGCUUAACCUCGGCGCUGCAUCUGAAACUAUAGUUCUUGAGUAUCGGAGAGGAAAGUGGAAUUCCUAGUGUAGCGGUGAAAUGCGUAGAUAUUAGGAGGAACACCAGUGGCGAAGGCGGCUUUCUGGACGGUAACUGACGCUGAGGCGCGAAAGCGUGGGGAG